ACCUAAAAAGAAUAUCAAAACUUCUGUUUGUGAAGAACAGGUGAAGUUUUCAUUUCCAAAACUGUGAUGCCAACAGUACAGCAUGCAAUAAUCCAGUAUAAUUGAUACAGUACUCCUGCAAGUUUGACUUAAUGUAUUAUGUGGACAAAGUGACAAGUUACCAAAAAUGAUGAGGUUUAUAAUUCCAGAACUUGAGGCAGACAACUUACAGAAGAAAACACUAAUGAUAAAUAAUUUUUAUGACAAGAUGCUGAAUAGUUAAAUCUAAGUAGAACUUACAAGAAGCAGCACAAGGAUUGUUGAUUUGAUAAUCUGAAAGCCACUCCAACAAGAUUUCAACCAUUUACAUAGUUAUUACAUUGAUAGUAAAUAAAAUAGCAUUAAGCUUAGUGAACAAUUGGGAUCUUUUCUAUUAAUCAUUAUAUUGUGGCAAAUCAUGAAAUUGAGAGUCACUAUAAAGCAAGGCUACUGUAUAAUAAAUGUAUUAAAAAAAAAAUGGUUUUUAAUUAAAAAAAGUUAAAGAUUAUUGCAUUUUUUAUUUUUUUUAUUCCAUCAAUCUGGGAACUUUAUUGCCACUGUAUUUCUUACAUAUCUAUUAUGAAGAUUCUUUUAUGUAAAAUCAGAUUUCUUAAUUUUUAUAUAUUUUUCAUUUCAAAAUAAAAAUCUUAUAUGAAAUUUACCAUUAUUAAAAAUAUCUAAUUAAUUAAAAAUUAUAUUUAUACAAA